GACGAACGCUGGCGGCGUGCUUAACACAUGCAAGUCGAACGGAAAGACCCUGCUUUUGUGGGGUGCUCGAGUGGCGAACGGGUGAGUAACACGUGAGUAACCUGCCCUUGACUUUGGGAUAACUUCAGGAAACUGGGGCUAAUACCGGAUAGGAGCUCCUGCUGCAUGGUGGGGGUUGGAAAGUUUCGGCGGUUGGGGAUGGACUCGCGGCUUAUCAGCUUGUUGGUGGGGUAGUGGCUUACCAAGGCUUUGACGGGUAGCCGGCCUGAGAGGGUGACCGGCCACAUUGGGACUGAGGUACGGCCCAGACUCCUACGGGAGGCAGCAGUGGGGAAUAUUGCACAAUGGGCGGAAGCCUGAUGCAGCAACGCCGCGUGCGGGAUGACGGCCUUCGGGUUGUAAACCGCUUUCGCCUGUGACGAAGCGUGAGUGACGGUAAUGGGUAAAGAAGCACCGGCUAACUACGU
rnacentral:rRNA from 1 species